UCCUACGGGAGGCAGCAGUGAGGAAUAUUGGACAAUGGAGGCAACUCUGAUCCAGCCAUGCCGCGUGCAGGAAGACUGCCCUAUGGGUUGUAAACUGCUUUUAUAGAGGAAGAAACCUCCCUUCGUGAAGGGAAUUGACGGUACUCUACGAAUAAGGAUCGGCUAACUCCGUGCCAGCAGCCGCGGUAAUACGGAGGAUCCAAGCGUUAUCCGGAAUCAUUGGGUUUAAAGGGUCCGUAGGCGGACUAAUAAGUCAGUGGUGAAAGUCUGCAGCUCAACUGUAGAAUUGCCAUUGAUACUGUUAGUCUUGAGUCAUUAUGAAGUGGUUAGAAUGAGUGGUGUAGCGGUGAAAUGCAUAGAUAUCACUCAGAAUACCGAUUGCGAAGGCAGAUCACUAAUAAUGUACUGACGCUGAUGGACGAAAGCGUAGGUAGCGAACAGGAUUAGAUACCCUGGUAGUCUACGCCGUAAACGAUGGUUACUAGCUGUUUGGUCGAUUGAGACUGAGUGGCUAAGCGAAAGUGAUAAGUAACCCACCUGGGGAGUACGUUCGCAAGAAUGAAACUCAAAGGAAUUGACGGGGGCCCGCACAAGCGGUGGAGCAUGUGGUUUAAUUCGAUGAUACGCGAGGAACCUUACCAGGGCUUAAAUGUAGUCUGACAGAUUUGGAAACAGAUUUUUCUUCGGACAGAUUACAAGGUGCUGCAUGGUUGUCGUCAGCUCGUGCCGUGAGGUGUCAGGUUAAGUCCUAUAACGAGCGCAACCCCUGUGGUUAGUUGCCAGCGAGUCAAGUCGGGAACUCUAGCCAGACUGCCGGUGCAAACCGUGAGGAAGGUGGGGAUGACGUCAAAUCAUCACGGCCCUUACGUCCUGGGCCACACACGUGCUACAAUGGUAGGGACAGAGAGCAGCCACUUCGCGAGAAGGAGCGAAUCUUCAAACCCUAUCAC
rnacentral:rRNA from 1 species